rnacentral:rRNA from 1 species
GACGAACGCUGGCGGCGUGCUUAACACAUGCAAGUCGAACGGAAAGGCCCUGCUUUUGUGGGGUGCUCGAGUGGCGAACGGGUGAGUAACACGUGAGUAAACUGCCCUUGACUUUGGGAUAACUUCAGGGAACUGGGGCUAAUACCGGAGAGGAGCUCCUGAUCCAUGGUGGGGGUUGGAAAAUUUCGGCGGUUGGGGAUGGACUCGCGGAUUAUCAGCUUGUUGGUGGGGUAGUGGCUUACCAAGGCUUUGACGGGUAGCCGGCCUGAGAGGGUGACCGGCCACACUGGGACUGAGAGACGGCCCAGACUCCUACGGGAGGCAGCAGUGGGGAAGAUUGCACAAUGGGCGGAAGCCUGAUGCAGCAACGCCGCGUGCGGGAUGACGGCCUUCGGGUUGUAAACCGCUUUCGCCUGUGACGAAGCGUGAGUGACGGUAAUGGGUAAAGAAGCACCGGCUAACUACGUG